rnacentral:rRNA from 1 species
UACAGAGGUCUCAAGCGUUGUUCGGAUUCAUUGGGCGUAAAGGGUGCGUAGGUGGCAGGGUAAGUCUGGUGUGAAAUCUCGGGGCUCAACCCCGAAACUGCACUGGAUACUGCCUUGCUCGAGUACUGGAGAGGAGAUUGGAAUUUACGGUGUAGCAGUGAAAUGCGUAGAUAUCGUAAGGAAGACCAGUGGCGAAAGCGAAUCUCUGGACAGUUACUGACACUGAGGCACGAAGGCCAGGGGAGCAAACAGG